rnacentral:misc_RNA from 13 species
GAUCAUCUUCAGGGCCUUGUGUUGUCUGCAUUUCAGCAAAAAGUUUCUCUGGUUGAUAGCCGAUGCGAGUUUCUUCUCAUCGUUGGCGAUGUCCUUCAUAAGAAGAGAAACUUUUUGCUGAAAUGCAGACAACACAAGGCCCUGAAGAUGAUGU